rnacentral:rRNA from 1 species
UACGUAGGUGGCAAGCGUUGUCCGGAAUUAUUGAGCGUAAAGCGCGCGCAGGCGGCCUUUUAAGUCUGAUGUGAAAGCCCACGGCUCAACCGUGGAAGGUCAUUGGAAACUGAAAGGCUUGAGUACAGAAGAGGAAAGCGGAAUUCCACGUGUAGCGGUGAAAUGCGUAGAGAUGUGGAGGAACACCAGUGGCGAAGGCGGCUUUCUGGUCUGUAACUGACGCUGAGGCGCGAAAGCGUGGGGAGCAAACAGG